UUCGCUGUGUGAUUGAUGGCAUCAUCAAUGGAAGAUCAAUGUGUGUGCUUGUGAGCCCAAGGAGGAGAGCGGGGGCAGGCAGGACAAUUCUUAGUGUGCUAACUUAAUUUUCAAUUUCUCAGUGAGAAAAGCCAUGCUUAUCUAUGGCUCUUCUGUUGCAGCAUUUUAAAAACUGCCCUGAAGGUACAACUCACUUUAUGUCUGGCUUAUUGAAUAAAUUCAUGAAUUACAACCCUACCAUGUACACAGGUGAUGGUAAGAAUGGCUUGUCCAUUCUGUCCAGGAGGGGUAACAUUUCAAGCUUGGAAUAGAAAGCGAUGAGGCAGCUAGAGAGGUAAAAAGGGGUAUUUCCGUGUCAGAACAAAAAGUCAUGUCCACACUGUAGGCACGAGAGUACAUUCAAGUGUCCAGCAUUCGGAAUCCACCAAUAUGGAAUCUGCAGUCAUUUUAUUCUAUAUGGCAGCCUAUGGGCCCUCAUCCAUAUCCCACUAAUUACUGGGAGACAACCUUAAAUUGUCCUUUUAAAGAACAUGAUUCAACAUAAGUUUAUUACAGCCUUUCCAAUAAGAAUAUAAAAGAAUAAAGCAUUUGCCAGAGUGACUGCUUAGUCUUAACCUAUCAAAAUAAAUACCUUUCAAGCACCUUAGAAGCAUCAUUUGCAUGCAAGUAAUGUGCUAACUGCAAAUGGGACUUAUUAAUUAAUUAAAGCUCAUCAAAAAACAUCUUCUUUGAGUGAUAUUUUGUUGGAUGUUAGAGUUACAACAGAAAGUGAUAAAAUACUCUUUGAACAUUUCCUUGUAUUCCAACGUAUUACAGUUUUCACUGGUCUUUUCCUAUCAGUUCUCAGGCUUAUUGGAAUGUGGCAUGUGGGAGAGUCCAGCUUAGCGGCUAAGAGCACUGCCACACUGACCUGGGUUUGAAACCUGCCUCUGCCAUUAACCAGGAGCAAGACAGGGCAUGUUCGGUAAUACCUCUGUGAUUCAGUUCCCGCCUCUGUAAAUGGGGGAUAAUAUUAGCACCUACCUAUUAGGAUUGUACUGAAGACUAAACAAGUCAACAUAUGUAUAGCACAUCUAAGCACUAUUUAAACAAUAGUUACUUCUUUAUCUCUCUGUAGCACUGAACACUAGAAACCAUAUAGAAUUUGAAGUCAGAAGGCUAUUUCUGCUACCAUUAGCUGUAUAAUGUAAGUUACAGAACCUUUGAACCUCAGUUUCCUUAUAAGUAGAAUGGAGGUAAUCACACCUACACUCCAUUGGGUUGGUGUGAGGACUGUAUAAGAUAAUGUGUAAAACACC
rnacentral:lncRNA from 1 species